CAACUACACCCUUCGCCCGGAAAUACUUGUCAUAGAGAUGAAUGUAUCUAGACUUAUUUUAGUUAUAGAUACACUCAUUAUAUACAUUUUUAGGACAAGUAUUUCCGGACAAAGGUAGUAUUAU
rnacentral:pre_miRNA from 1 species